AUACAACCCGCAUCGCUGGUCGGGGAGGGAACUGGGAAGGAAGCCGGAGCCCGGGCCGUCGGCGUUGGGGAAUUGGGAGUGGCCGACUGGGGAAGCCACGGCGGCAACACCGUCUUCGAGGGCUGUCGGGAUAGGACGGGAGGCGAACCAGCAGAAGCGCGAGCGAGCGUGUGGGUAACGGCUCACGGCUUCUCUGCACCACCGCCGACCCGAGGAGCACACUUAGGUCUACCUGCAACCUGCAUUUCCUCUCCCUCUCCCUCUCCCUCUCGGCUCCUCUGCAGCACCGCCGGCCACGUCCUCGAGGACCACACUGGAGGUGGAUCGGCGAGCUCAUGAAGAUAUGCUAGUCCUCUUGCUGAUCCUAGAGCAAUCCUGAGCCUCUUCUUCCAAUCCAGUUCAUCAAAAGAAAAGAACCUUGCUCCUUUCAGCUGUGGAGCACCUCCACUAUCUUUUUUAGCGAUUCCCCAUGAAGCUAAAAAUUGAAUAUGCAUGAGGUAAAUAGUCAGUUAAGUUUUUAUCAAACUACAGUACUUUUGAUCUUUUCUAUGCUUUAUUACUGCUUACAUGCAUUUGAUCACUAUAUUUUCGUAGUUAGACACAUUUUCCGUUAUAAUUUUGUAAGCUCUGAAAGGAAGGGUAUUUAAAUAGGAUUUGAAAAUUGGAUGUUGGUUUGGCAUGCUGAGCUAGUUAGUAUACAUAACUGUGUCAAUUCUGUUGUAUAUUUUUAUCAUAUGUCUAAUUAUAGCCUAUCAGGCUACCAUUUAGUUAUUUAACUUGAAUCCUGCUUAAUUACCCUGCUAGGUAAUCUCAUACCAUGAUAAUAUUGAUAUUCUUAUAUGAAGUAAAAUUGUAUUUGUUUUGUACAAUCUAGCUCCAGUAAGCUGUAUUUGUUAUACAUCUGGAAGUCGGUAACAGCUCUAGCAAACCAUUGGUACUCUAUGCUGUUGCAACCAUUCUCAGCAAAUAAAUGGCAUAUAUGUGUCCCAUUUUUACUUCAUCAAUGAGAGGUUAUGUAGACUUUUUAUCCGAUUUUAUUAGUUUUUUUUGGGGGGGGGGGGGUCUUUCUCACUGGUUUCCUAUAGAUGUUUAUAGAUUUACUACAAAACAAAGAACUUUAUUAAAUGGUGCAACCAUGGAAAACACAUUCUGAUAAUUUAAUGUUUUUCUUCUUAAAGAAAUAUUUGGUAGCUAUAAGAGGUAUACAGUUGUCAACUAUAUUAUUUGGAAUCUCACCGAAAGGAUUUGUUUGUCCUGAUAGUUCCCUACUUCUUCUCUUCUGUAAUAAAGCAAAUAUUGCCCCAGAAGUUACAGCAAUCAGAAUAAGACCACAUGCUACUGCAAUUCCAGCGACAGCACCUGUGCUUACUUGCGAUUUUCCACCGUCAUCUGCUCCUGAGACAAGAUAGCCUAAUGUAUUUCAUGCAUAAUUACUUGCAUAUAGACAUAAUUUUACAUGAUUAGAUUUGAUUAUUUUAAUACCUGCAAAGUGGACAUAUGGAUCUGCAACAAAGUAAUAAGGUCCAAAACCUUGUGGUGGCUUGUAAGUUUGAUUGCUAAGAUCAAAGCCUAUCCUCGUUAUUUCCGACAAGUUAAAGGAUGUUCCGGUCGAUGGAAAUAGUCUGACUUGAACUUGGAGGUAAUCAUCACUGGUGAAGUGGAUAUCAGAAAGGAAAACUGAACCAGGUUGCAGUCCCAGUUCUGUUGAGAGGCUAGCUUCCAAUAGCUGAAAGUGCUCAUUGUUUCUCAAGUCUGCAAACAGUGGUGACCUGAAGAAAACCCUACCCAUGUAGGGAUAGGCACAGCCACAAUUUGCAGGGUCUAGACUUUGAUCGCUGGAACAAGAAGUUGAACCACAAUGGGUUACACUAGUAGUGUAUGAUAUUAUGCUAUCUUGCUGGAUACUGCAAAAGUGGCUACUGGAGAAUUCAGGAUCCAAGCACACAGGAUUUCCCACAAGUCUGCCGAUAGAGGAAGAGGCAAUUCUAGUCAGUAAAUGGAGACUAGAAGCAGCAUGUGGUCUUUGGUUUUGAAGCAUGCAAGUACUCACACUAGUAUUCCGUUGUAGCUUUGUGUUAUUUUUGCCGCAACUAUACGAUUAUUUAACAGAAUGACUCGCUGCAGUUGUUGAGUGAUGUUGCCAGUCAUGUUAAGCGUCCCAUUGAAGGCAUUAUUGCUUAGAAUACUGUCUGAUCAGUGACAAAAAUAAGCAAACAUGUGAAACUUUGCUAGUUACUAAAAUUUUAACUUGUAUGUUUCCAGAAAAUUACACUUGCUGCAGUCCGGGUAAGGUAAAGAUCCUGUUGGGAAUCUGACCAUACAGUCCUCCAGAAGCUAUUGCUCUGCAUGUUAGGAUUUUAUAACGUGAUAUGGUUUCACUAAAUGAGAAAAUAUAGUACAUUGAGCAUUGUAGUGCAUGUCUUAAACAACUCACACUGAAGCUAGUGUUUUCAGUGUCAGCAUCCAGGUUGGUAUGGCAGACGGAUCAAAUGAAUUGUUGCUUAAAUCACUGGAUGUGAAAAGAAAAUUCAUUAGUACUUGCACCAUGUUUAUAUGUUAUGACAGUGUAGAAUAGAAGACAAGGGCGAUAUCUUACACCACAUUAAGUUUUGUCAGGGUACUGAGAUCUGGCAUUGUUCCACGCAGCUGGUUGCCUGCAAAAUUCCUGCAGAAGAUAGUUAUUCAAAUGAAAUACACUGGAAAUUCUUGACUUACACAAAUAUGUUAGUCAUUUGACCGUGAGGUCAAAAAUCAUACAUCACUUACAGUACAUUGAGGUCAACUAGGUUACUGAUAUUGGUCGGAACUGCUCCUGUGAAUUUAUUAUUGUCUAAUCGGCUGAUCAAGAUGCAAAGAAGUCAACAUAAUGCUGAGAAUAUGGUUGGAAGAAAUAAAAAUGCCAAGAUACUCACAGAAUCUGGAGGGUGGUGAUGCUACCAAGUUCAGCAGGGAUAGGACCAGUCAAUUGGUUGUUGUCAAAUAAUCUCAUGAAGAUAAACAAAGUGAUCAGUACAGUACUUUAAUGUGUAAGAAUUGCUAGCAUAAAAAAUUAGUACUGCCUUACAUAUGUUCGAGUCUCAUGCUAGGGCUGAAGAGGCCAUUGAGAUUACCGGUUAAUUGGUUUCCACUGAAAUGACUGUUAAUUAAUCGGAACAGAGUAUCAGCAUGGUAGGAACACGAGUAAAAGCAUGCAUACUGAUCAUCUGUUCUUGACUUAUAGGAGAUUAGAAAUGUUGGAGGAUCUUACAAAUGUUUGGUGUGUGUAAGUAGGUCAAGUCCUGGAGAAGUGGCUGAUGAAAUCGGAACAGGACCAGAAAGUUGAUUUUCUGACAAGUCUAGCCAGAAGAGGUUGUUGAGUAGGCCAAUUGAAGCAGGAAUUCUGCCUGUAAAUCUGUUUGAAUUCAUUGCCCUGCAGAGUAUAUUUCAUUGCUAGUUCAUUGCAUCAGUAUAGGCAAAGCAGCAGCAGAGGUAACAAGAACAGAGUUGGGAUUAUGAUUUUCUAUCAAUUUAAUAGUUCUUACAAGAAUGAGAGCUGCACCAAGUUUCCUAAUUCUUCGGGGAUGCCUCCUGUGAAGCUGCACCCAGCCAAGAUUCUGAAGAUUACAACGCAUUAGAAUAGUGCACGAAGACUGGCCAAAAUCAUGAAUAUCAGCAGAAGAAUGGACAGUGCCUUCAUUUUGAGAGCUACAAACACUCUGAACCUCAGGGUUCCACAAAGCUGUUGUGAAUGUGAAUACUUCAAGGAGUGGAGCUUUCUAAGGUUUACAACUGAUCACCAAAGCCUUGGUCUUUUAUUGAAUGUUCCCUUGAGUAGGAACAGGUAAUAGGUCUUUGGUGCCUUGGUGGCUCGGUGCAAGUCACAAACUCACAAUGCUGUCAACACAUUCCUUUAAACUUUUGAACGUGGACGUAUUCGUGACAACUGGUGUCUGUUUUGUUAUUUAAAUUUGUGUAGCCUGCUCAUCCUUACAGGUUGUAACUUCAUGUCGCUGGGAUACAGUUUUUUUUUGUCAUUUUUAAUACUUUUGCAUUUGCAUGUCAUGUAGUUGAUAUUGUUUUUUCAUUGAUCCAGUGUAUGCUGAGGUGGACUGAAAUAACGAUGUCAAUGCUUUGGAAGCUCUGCUAAUGACAUAGUUACUUUCAUUGUUUCUGCAGGUCAACAGGCACUCUGGAUAAUUCUACCCUAAACAGAUGGCAGCAUGCAUCCUAUAUCCUCGUCAAAUGCAAUAUAUCAAGGCUUACCAUCUUGGGGGUUCGUCUGACCGAAACUUGGCCGGAGGUAUACCAAGAGCAAGAACAGGAGUAGCAACUGCUGCAUCGCCGCCAUGCCGAGCUAGGCCUCCAAACAAGUUGCAGCAGACCACUGCUAACUUCGAUGGGACGAUGGUUAUCCUUGGAGAAGUCUAUGCAAUGAGGUAGCUAAUGGACGAGUCAGCUGCUACCAAAUGGCGCCGCUCUUCUUCCUGAGGUUGGAACCAGGCAAAGCAAAUAGCGUUUCAAGCAAAACAACCUUGCAUCACCAGAUUCAGAAGAAUCUCUCGUCAAUUAUUGCCUGGUCUGCUUACCGGGUCCAAGCAAUGGAUAUGCUCAUAGGAACGCACGUAUGCAAGGGUAUGGGAGGCCUUAAACAAGGCUACAGAGAGCUCAGUUGAACUGAUCAAAACACGGAAAUGGUUGAAGAAAAAAUGUUUCUGUAUUCCUCGUUGAUAGUGGGGCAGUUGCUUCUUGUCAUCUUGUGGCUGGGGCCUCAUCGGAGUAUCCCUUCUAAGCUUUGACCCGGUCAUGGCUAUUAAUUAAUUAGAUUAGUACGGCCACAGGUCGGACUUUUGUGCCAUAGGCCCACAGUUCAGAAACGUGUUAUGCUGCGCUACUGCUGCUAGCAGUUAUGAUGUGGAUUUGGCAUCAUGACAAGGAUAUUACGUAAAUAUACUUCGGUCCCCUUGAACGCACCACCCAUCGUGUUACCAUGAAUCGGUUUGUUCUUAGGAGACCUGAUGGUUCAUGUUCAGUAAAUUUGAUUUGAUGAUGAGGCAGGGUUUCUCUCACCUGCACAGACACAAAGCUUCAAAUCGCAAGUCAGAAAGCAUGUGCAGACGAUUAUACUGCUCUCCUUGAUCCUUGGAAGUUCGCAGAUGGUUCGGAAAGGCCUGGCCGUUCUUUUUUUUUCCCCCUUUUCGCAGAUGCUAUUCGUUCACCAACACGAAUGGGUCCGGAAGGCCAGGUUUUGGAUGCACCUGCUCAACUGGUUCCUUUGUCGGGAAGCUUGCCGUGCAGAUAAAUUUUUUAUGCAUGAUGUUCCAGAAAAUGCAGAUAAAGGACGGCUUCCACACAGAAGGUUCGUUCUGCACGGAGACAAAGUGUGGCCGGCAGGCUGAUGUUUGCAUUGGCCGAUGAAAUGAACUGUUCGCUUCAACUUAAAGUCAGUUGUUGUAUCUACAAUCUAUAGAGACAAAACACUAUAAGAAUAGUAGAAGCCGGUACGAAUUAAAGCAGACUGAAAGAUUUCUAUAUAGUAAUUGUCCGUCUUUUCUCUCCCGCUCUUUCAGUGCGUGGUUGCAAUUUUCUAUUAUUUCUUGACUGCCACUGAUCCCGUCGUAUAUGUUGCCUAAGUAAAUGUUGGUGAACAUA